rnacentral:rRNA from 1 species
UUCCAGACUCCUACGGGAGGCAGCAGUGGGGGAUAUUGCACAAUGGGGGAAACCCUGAUGCAGCGACGCCGCGUGGGUGAAGGAGCACUUCGGUGCGUAAAGCCCUAUCGGCAGGGAAGAAAAGGGGGAAACCCCAGACGGUACCUGACUAAGAAGCCCCGGCUAACUACGUGCCAGCAGCCGCGGUAAUACGUAGGGAGCGAGCGUUGUCCGGAAUUACUGGGUGUAAAGGGAGCGUAGGCGGGACUGCAAGUUGGGUGUCAAAUCUACCGGCUCAACCGGUAGCCGCACUCAAAACUGCAGUUCUUGAGUGAAGUAGAGGCAGGCGGAAUUCCUAGUGUAGCGGUGAAAUGCGUAGAUAUUAGGAGGAACACCAGUGGCGAAGGCGGCCUGCUGGGCUUUUACUGACGCUGAGGCUCGAAAGUGUGGGGAGCAAACGGGAUUAGAUCCCCCGGUA